GGGUGGUGGCAAUGUCCUAGUGGAGUAUCAGGAGGUCCCACUGUCCGACUGAGAGAGAUCCUUCCAUCUUUAAAGCAAAGACAUCCAGGUGCUGUUCACUGAGAGUCAGCCCUACUAGCUCCAGACAAGCACUGCAAGUCUCAGAGUCCAGCAUGAGGUGAGAGAAACACCCACUCAGUCUUUCAGCCUAAGAUGAACAACAGCAUUGAUCUGGUAAAAAAUGUUCCAGCACUGGUGUCAGCAGAGAUUAAACCAUCCAACACUCAGUUUGGCAGAAGAAAAGAUCAAUCUCUGACAGUGGUUACGGGCAACACGAUUCAGCCGUCCAGAAGUGAUGAGUGCACACUGGGGUGACUGGCACAGGCUGCCCAGAAAAGCUGCAGUGUCUUUGUCCUUCAAAACCCGACCAGAUACAUCCCUGAUCAACCUGCCCCAGCUGACCUUGCUCGGAGCUGGGAAUUUGGACCAGAAGAUCUCCAAAGAUCCCAUCCAUCCUCAAUCUUUGGGUGGUUCUAAGAGUAAGGAGAGCGGAGUACAGGUUUCUUUUGCACUGAGGUGAGCUUUAGUGGUGUAGGGAGGCAGAUGGUGACUGCUCUGUUCAAAGGUGUAAAGAACCUCAUUUCGGAGUUUGAAUUAAGGGAGAGGCCAAGCACUUGCAAGGUACUCCAUUUAUAGGGUCUGUGCAGUCAGAAGGGAGAUAGAGUUUGAAAGUCAUAAUGAAAGUAAAUUAUAGGGCCCACAAGAGGUCACUUAGGAGAGAAAGGGGUUUAAAAAAAAAAAAGGGUCACAGGACAGAAUGCCUGGGAGGAUACAGUAACAGUGCAGUUUCACAUUACAGCAAUAAUUUACUCACAGGGCCAAGUUUAGAAAUAACCCCACUGUCACAUGUUUUAGUUAGCAGUGAAGGUUCUCAUAAAGAGAAGCUGUCAGUAAAGGGAAGAAGCCUAUUCUUCCUCCCCUGGCUUGUCCAGUUCUUUCCCAAUGGCUGCAGCCAUGGAUUAGAUCAUCUCAUUGAAACUGCAGAAUAUUGAACUGCCUCAGGAAAACUAUUGUUACUCUGUUAGUGCUGUUCAGUGAAUUGGAUGCAUCCUGAGGAUAUUCAGUCGGUAGGGUCAGUGCAAGUGAGGGGAAGGGGAAACAUAGCUGUGAGAGGUGAAAGAGGCAAGAUCAUCCACUUUGGCCACACGCUCAAUUGGAACCAUUUAUUAGACAUGAAAAAGAAAAUGUUCUUUGAAAUACUCUUGACUAUGAGUGAGUGCCUGGUAUGAUCCGGCAGCGUGGCUGCAGUGCUGCUGCAUACCCUACAGCGGUGUGCUCUGCUCCAUGCUGCAACAGUGCCUACUCACACUGGAGCUUCUUUGAAAACCCCAGGCAGCAAAAGGUUCAAAACUACGUUCAAACUGUUGCAAAGUUCAACCUUGCCUUAUAAAAAUUCACACUACAACUAAAAACACUGGUGUAUGAAUUUAAUACAAGUCAGUGAAAAAAAGCUAUCAAUAUCUCCAAAAUGUGUCUCAAAAUCAUGGCACCAUACAGCAUUUUCUCACCAGAACCUGCAAUGACAGGUGAAGCAACAGCUUAUAAAUCUGUACUUGAAUUCUAGUAUUAAUUGCACUUUUUAACAGUAUGCAGAGCAUAUUUUAAAAGAACUCUUAUGUGAGCCUCUCUAGAGGGAUCUUAUUGUGAAACUGAUGAUACAGUGAAGAAAUACCAGGAUUUUCUUGUGUUUGGCAGACUACCCAUAUUACCUUCAUUUCUAGUACUGUAAUAGUAACAGAAACAAAUAAACAAAAAUAAUAAGCAUAAGAACAACCAUUGCAAUUCAGUGACUUCCUACUAAACUAAGCUGAAAAUUCUUCAGAGGUCUCACCUACUAAACAGAUAUUUUUAUAUACUUAGCAGCUUCCUAAGUUACACUGCAGCCUGACCACGUGAGACAGGAAAGCAGUUCCAGACAUUUGAAGGUACUCUCCUGAAAUGCAUACAUUGAAAACAAAUGGUAAACAAUCUCUUCCAAAACUAAGUACAGGAAACAAUCACACUCAGGACACAUUUCAGAGAAGUGUAUUUUCAGACAGUGUGGUGGGGCCCUAAGUAAAACAAAUAUGCACUACCUGGCUGCAUUUAACCGCUGUACUCAAAGCUGUAAGACAACCAGCUUUACUGAGUGGUGGAAAGAACAAAAUUCCAAUGCAUCUACAGAAGGAUUUCCAGUUAGUUCCCCGAGAACUCUGUAGUUGGCCAACCUACAAAGAGAAAUUAAAACAUAUCUGAUAAAGAACUGUGGAAAAUUCUUUGCUAAAUGUAGUUAAGUAAUAUCUAUUUAACUAAAUUGGACAGCAUUCUGUAAAAAGCUUAAACAAUCACUGACAUCGGAAGAUCAGAAUGUUUCCUGCUCUAAAAUAUUAUGGGAUUUUCAGCAACUCACAGUUUCAAAACACGUCAACUGUGGGCUGCAAAGCCAAAAACACAUUUAUAUGUACGUUGCUCUGAAAGUAAUGCCUCCCAUUUAUCUCCAUGGAAACAACAACAGAGCACAAUAACACUGUUUGAUAGAGCAAAUUCGCAGCUACAGAGCACUACGGUCACCACCAUCAGCUGUGCAUUUUCAUCAGUGAUAAACAAGCCUGCAUGUUGUGCUUGUAAAAAUUUGCACCAGUAGAGUUGAUCCACUGUCAUCACUGCACCACACACCACUUAAUUGUGCUCAGAUGCACUGUUUGGUCUCCAUAAAUGUUCAGCAAGUGCCCAUGGAUGUCAAUGGGUGUCAUUUUUUCUGAUUGACAAAGUUCACUGACACCCCUUAGCUUCAUACACACUUCCAUGUCAGACGCCACUUUGUCAGACUGCCCCUCUGCUGCCACCUGUCACACAGCAGCAAAAUGCAAUGGAAUUGUGGUGAGAAGGUUCAACCUCUACUGCCAUACCACCAACAUCCAACUCUGCUGUUGUGGGCAAACACCAUAAUACAGGAGGCAUUACUUUUGGAGCAGACCCCAUACAUUUCAUAGGUAGUGUAUCUUAAAGUCAUUUAUGUCUUAAGGUGAUCAGCCUGCAUAGAAAUUAGUAACCGUUAGUGGAAAUGUUGAUUGCGACUCCUUAUUCCUUGAGAUCAUUAUUUGUAGAAUAAGAAGAAUUUGAAGACAUUUUGAAAAUCCCUAAUAUUGGAGUACACACACAUGCACACACACACUUCUUCAGACAAGUCUACAUAUUCACAGAGACACUGCUUUAAAUGAAAAUGAGACCUGAGCCUUCAACAUAAUAGUCUAUUUCGUGAAACUGCUGUCGUAUCAAAAAAGUAAGACUGUAUUUUUGUUGGGACAAAAACAUCUGGAUUACUCCUCAAGUUAAUGUCACCUUAAAGUUAAUGACACCUGAAAUCUGAGCACAGUCUAAGAACAGCAAUGAAAGUAAAAGGAUGCCAUGCUCCCAGAGCAAGUCUGUUUGCCAGCUAUGACAAACUUAGAAAGGUCAGCUGGCUGGAAAAAUGCUUUCUAAGUAGUUGUCAAACUUAGCUAGACAGGAUUGUUCGUGGUAUGCAAUUCUAGGGCCUAAAGAUCUUGUUUCAGAAGCUGUAAACAUGAAAAACACGGAGUUACAUCAAUGGGAAUCGAAGGAAAUUUGUUGUGAUGACAAUUCAAAAUCUGCAAUGGUUUGGAAAUAAGGCUGAAAGCACCAAAUAGAGCCCCUGCAGGACUCCUUUAGGAAAGAAGAAGGAUCAUAUCCAAGGUGGAAAUAAAGUGAGAAAUCCCGUCCUUUUCACUGAUGGCAUAUGAUGACAGAGAACAGUCUGUUCUGGAGUAGAUUCUGUGGAAGUCUGGAUGAAACAACUUCUAGAGUAACUUACUUGCUGGAAAAUAUGAUUUCAAGUGACUCCUGCCUUUCAAGUUUGAUAGGAUUGAUUCUGUGAGAACGCCUGGCUUCAUUUAUGUAAUUAUCUUCAUUAAUGCCAAGAAGAUUCAAUUUUGAUUAACUGUGGAAGAGGCAGAUAUUUUGUAUCAGUCUGACUACAUCAGGAGUUAAAGAAAUGUCUGAGUUGGAAUUCAGAUAACCAAGUGUUCUGGAGCAAGACAAAAACAACUACACAAUAGAUGCAGUCUUGUCUAAAACAAAACAAAUAAAUAACAAACCCCUGAUAAUACCAAGACAGGUUGUUUGCUGGAUGCUUGUCAGUAAGGACUGCAGUGACCCAGAAGAAUUGGUGCUCAGAAGUGUCAAGCUUCUCAU
rnacentral:lncRNA from 1 species